rnacentral:misc_RNA from 1 species
GAAAUGCGAUAAGUAAUGAGAAUUGCAGAAUUCAGUGAAUCAUCGAAUCUUUGAACGCACAUUGCGCCCGCCAGCACUCUGGCGGGCAUGCCUGUUCGAGCGUCAUUUCAACCCUCAGAACCCCUUGCGGGAUCUGGCGUUGGGGAUUGGCAUCCAGCCAGCCCCGAAAUCUAGUGGCGGUCCCUCCGCGACCUCCCCUGUGCAGUAGCGAUACCUCGCAGCGGGACAGCGGUCUGACCACGCCGUAAAACCCCCAACUUCUCAAGGUUGACCUCGAAUCAGGUAGGAAUACCCGCUGAACUUAAGC